rnacentral:lncRNA from 1 species
GCCAGUUACUCCCCAACAGAGGUCGGCAUCAUCAGACAGAUUGAUCAUCUCAUCCAUCCUCAGCCAAGAUCUGUGGAAUAUUUCUACCAUCAGACAGAAUCAAGAACCCCCUGCCGAGAAAGGGUCAUCGUUACAAAUAUCUCCAAUCAGUAGAUGGGGAUUUAUUUUCCCCAGUAGAGUCCCCAAGCAGAACUUCUCAUACGCAUAACUCAUUCAUUACAUCCUUUCACAGCAUACGCAUGCAUACAACAUUCACAUUUAUUUUAGCAUAACACGAAACAUCUCAUGCAUCAUGACAUAGCAUGAAGCUAACUUUUUCUUUGCAGGUUAAUUAUCCUCCUGAUAUAGUCAAAGUAGAAGGUUCAUUCAGACAGACACCUUUAUCAAU